rnacentral:piRNA from 1 species
UGGGCCUUUGGGAAUUUGUAGCGGUUAAACC